rnacentral:lncRNA from 1 species
UUUUUUUUUUUUUUUUUUUUUUUUCUUCCCCCUCCAUAAACAAGUGAUUAAUGCCUUGCAAAAAGGCACAGACACACCUUCCCCACAGCAAGGGAGCCCCUGCCAGAUUCCCCAGCCUUAAUUCUGCUGUUAACACCCCUCAGGGGGAGGGGUGAAGAGUAAAUCCCCUCCUGCAAGAAGCAGACCUGCGGGCAAUGUGGUUUGUUUAAAGUCUCUGAGCUGAGCCACCGACCUCCCAUUUGCUCUGAUGACGUGAGUACUUCAAAAAGAAAAAGAAAAAAACAAAAAAAAACCCAACUCAUCUUUACCUAAGGCAGCACCCAGUUUGUAAAUGUCUCUGCAUAGGACCCUCCCAAAUGGACAUGACCAUGGCAGAAUUUUCCCUUCCUUCUCCCAGCGCCAGUGAACAGAGGGGGGAGCUCCAUGAAUCAACAUUUUCAGAGAGUUUCACAGGCUCCUUUUUCCAUUGAGUUUGCAAGGGGCAUCUUGACUGAAUUAAGAAAUAAAUUCCUGACGAACUUGUGCACACUUUUGGACAAUGAACGAACUGAACACUGAGUGCAAGAAGAAAUCUUAGGCACAUUUAUUUAUUUAUUAUUUAUUUUUUAUUUAUUUUUUGUUUGUUUUUUUUUUUGUCUUUUUGUCUUUUCUAGGGCCUCUCCCUUGGCACAUGGAGGUUCCCAGAAAAAGCAAAAAGACAAAAAAUAAAAAAGAAAAGAAAAGUUUGGAAACCAUUAGCCUAGACCAUGAAAACCAGUAGACAUUUAAUCCCUGCUCUGCCAAAUGUAGCCAAAGAGCAGGUUGGCCAAAGAGGAACAAUGAAAUCUAACAUUUACUGGGCACCAGUUCUGUGGCAAGGAUUAGAAUAAAUUCUCUCUCCUGAGUGAUCUUGUCUUUCCUGUUCAUCAGCUGUGAGAGACUAAUAGGACUGGCUCCAUUUUUAUGGAUAAGGAAACUGAGGCCCCGAGAGGCACGAUCUGGUGCCAAAACAAGAAUAGUCACUGAUGAGCUAAGACAUCUAGCCAUUAGGAGUUUUUUCUCUGUGACCUUGGAACAAUUACUUUUCCUCUCUGAGCCUUAGUCUCCCCAGUCUUAGAGGACUGGGCUAAGGAUUCAUUGGGUCCAUUGUAACUCUUUGGUCUUCAUCCCCCUCCUCCAUGACCUUCCUGUUGCUUCCUUUCUUCUGUCUUCCCAGGAAUGUGUCAGAGGCAGCCUGGUAUGGCAGAAAGAGAACCUGAGUACUGAGUUCCAAUUCUAAUCCUGUCUUACGCAGACCCUGGUGAAUCACUUAACCUCUCUGAGCCUCACUUUCCCCAACAAUAAAAUGGGGAGGAAAAGAAGAACUACCUUUGAGCAUUGCUGGGAUGAUGGAGUCGAUGAAUGGAGUGCCCAGUCCAGCAGGCGCGAUAUAGCAGGUGUUCAAGUAAAGGUGCAUUCUCUGCACUGCUUUCUCUCAACUUCCCCAGUCACCCCCAUGUCUUGGUUCAUCCCCCUUCCCCGGGCUCGGCUGAAAUGUCACCUUCUCAGUGAGGCCUCCUCUGACCACCCUUUAAAACUAAAUGCCUUUGGCGUUGAUAGAUGCAACCUGUUGCAUUUGGAGUGGAUGGGCAAUGAGACCCUGCUGUGAAGCACAGGAAACUAUAUCUAGUCACUUGUGAUGAAGCAUGAUGGAGGAUAAUGUGAGAAAAAGAAUGUGUGUGUGUGUGUGUGUGUGUGUGUGUGUGUGUGUGUAUGACUGGGUCACUUUGCUGUACCACAGAAAUUGGCAGAACAUUGUAAAUCAACUAGAAUAGAAAACAUUAAAAAUCUUUAAAAAAAUAAAUAAAUAAAACUAAACCCUACGAUCCCCCAUUUACAACUCCAUUUUCUGAUUUACUUUUUUCUGUGAGACUCAUCACCACCAAACAUUUAUUUUUCCUGUUUAUUGUGCUUCUCAUUAUUCUCUCCCCUCCUGGAAAGGCCUUGGGAAUCAGUCAUUUUUACGUGCCUGGCUUGCUGCUGUUUUCUUAGCCUAAGAGACAUAGUGGGUCCUUGUAGAUAUUUGCUGAAUGAAAAUGAGAUGAAUGAAUGAAUAUUUGAUCUGGUAAUGAUACCUUCAGAUAAUGCAGGAAAAGCACAGGGCAUCGGUCUUGCACAGAGUAGCUGGGCCAUAAAUGCUCUUGUUCUUGUUUUAUUGGGACCCCAGAAUCCGCUGAGGUUACCCUGUUCAACUUUAAGCUAUACUCGAUUUACCUGAGGAUGUUUCAACAGUUUCCAGCUUUCUUAUUUCUAUUAUCCCUUAAACAGACCUCCAAGUGCCUGUCCCAGUAGCUCAGAGUUCUCUAAGCUGUAUUUCACCAAAGGCUGUAACUGUUACUGUCCCAGGGCCAUUUGCAACUUUCCUUUCCUGAGCACAGAGGUUUGACUAAGCACUUUGUUUAAAGGCAGGAAAUGCAUCAGCUCCCUGUCUUAAUCUUUUUGAAGCGGUUACCCAGGGCUAAGGUCGGGCUUGUCUACAGAUGCUUUGUGCCAAAAGAGUGCCACAGGUAUUAUGGUGUCGGUGAAGAAGAAAAAGCAGUCAUUCUUUAGGUGGGAAUGAAUUCUUUAUGUUUCAGAGGGGGCAGAGCUGCCCAGAACAUCACCCUAGAGGUGGAGCAUGGGCGUGUUAGGAUGGGGGUACUGACAGACACUUUGGGGAGAAACUUGCCCUCUCUGAGCCAAACCAUCCCAAGCCAGGCCUUGCUCCCCUCUGGGCCUGCUGAGAAUUAUUCCUUGAAACGUUGUUGAUAAUGGCUUUCCUCUCUGUGCUAGCACGAGGUAUCUGCUGAGGGACAUCCAGGGAUCAAACCCGCAUCCAUAGACAUGGAUACUAUGUCAGAUUCUUAACCCACUGAGCCACAAUGAGAACUCCUGCUUUUAUAUUUUUAAUAUUGCUUUUAUUCAAAAUUGUAAUCUUAGACCAAGAAGAGAAUUUUGAGGCGGUAUCCACAGGCUUCAUGAGAUUGUCCAAAGCAUCUGUGAUCCAAAAAGGUGGUGAAGCCAUUCUUGGUGAUGGAGAAGAGGAAGGGAGGCCUUGAGCCAUGAUUCUGGGGCUCAGGGAGUUGCAGAGCUUAGAAACCCAAAGUGGGAACACAGGAUCCUUGAUAUGGUGACACCAUUAAAAAGCUUUAGGAAAGCACACUGAGCAGUAUUCUCCAAAAAUGUCAAAAGGGGAGUUCCCUGUGGGCCUAGCAGUGAAGGAUCCAGCAUUGUCACUGCUAUGGUGUAAGUUUGAUGCCUGGCCCAGGAACUUUCACAUGUCACUGGUAGAGCCAAACCCACUCCCCCUCCAAAAUGUCCAAAGGGGUUCCAGGGUGGAAGCAGAACAUAGCUUUUUGUUUAUUUAUUUUAGAGCUGAACCUGCGACCUAUGGAGGGUCCCAGGCUAGGGGUUGAAUUGGAACUGCAGUUGCCGGCCUACACCACAGCCACAGCAGUGCCAGAUCUUUAACCCACUCAGAGAGGCCAGGGAGCGAACCC